rnacentral:rRNA from 1 species
GUCUACAGUCAUACCACCCUGAACAUGCCUGAUCUCGUCUGAUCUCGGAAGCUAAGCAGGGUCGGGCCUGGUUAGUACUUGGAUGGGAGGCCACCCAGGAAGACCAGGUGCUAUAGGCG